UACGUAGGGUCCAAGCGUUAUCCGGAAUCACUGGGCGUAAAGCGUGCGUAGGUGGCGUGUUAAGUGUGAUGUUAAAUCGUGUGGCUCAACCAUAUCGAUGUGUCGCAUACUGGCAUGCUAGAGGGAAGCAGAGGCGAGUGGAAUUUGUAGUGUAGCAGUGAAAUGCGUAGAUAUUACAAGGAACACCAAUGGCGAAGGCAGCUUGCUGGGCUUCUUCUGACACUGAGGUACGAAAGCGUGGGGAGCGAACAGG
rnacentral:rRNA from 1 species